GGUUGUGAGUGACAUCUGACUGCAACGUCCAUCACCCAGAUGAUUCUAGAUUGAUUUGGCUGAUCUGGAGGGCUAGAUGGCUGUCCUCCAUUCUACAUUGUUCCCAGUGGAACCUUCCAAAAGCUGAGAACUCAGUCCAAAAGAAAAACUCUCCAAAUUGAGAAAUGUUUGUCUUCUAAGUGGGUAAUUGGAGA
rnacentral:snRNA from 1 species